AGUGAACGCUGGCGGUAGGCCUAACACAUGCAAGUCGAACGGCAGCACAGUAAGAGCUUGCUCUUGCGGGUGGCGAGUGGCGGACGGGUGAGGAAUACAUCGGAAUCUACUUUUUCGUGGGGGAUAACGUAGGGAAACUUACGCUAAUAACGCAUACGACCUACGGGGGAAAGCAGGGGAUCUUCGGACCUUGCGCGAUUGAAUGAGCCGAUGUCGGAUUAGCUAGUUGGCGGGGUAAAGGCCCACCAAGGCGACGAUCCGUAGCUGGUCUGAGAGGAUGAUCAGCCACACUGGAACUGAGACACGGUCCAGACUCCUACGGGAGGCAGCAGUGGGGAAUAUUGGAUAAUGGGCGCAAGCCUGAUCCAGCCAUACCGCGUGGGUGAAGAAGGCCUUCGGGUUGUAAAGCCCUUUUGUUGGGAAAGAAAAGCAGCAGGUUAAUACCCCGCUGUUCUGACGGUACCCAAAGAAUAAGCACCGGCUAACUUCGUG
rnacentral:rRNA from 1 species